rnacentral:rRNA from 1 species
AUUGAACGCUGGCGGUAUGCCUAACACAUGCAAGUCGAACGGCAACAGACUAAAAGCUGGCUAUGACGGGUGGCGAGUGGAGUACGGGUGCGGAAUGCGUCGAGCUCUGCUGUUUCAUGGGUGGUAACGGAGGGAAACUUACGCUAAUACCUCAAACUACCUACGGGUGAAAGCAAGGGCUCGUCGGACCUUGCCCGCUGGUAUGAGCCGAUGUCGGAUUAGGUAGUUGGUGGGGUAAAGCCCCACCAAGGCGACGAUCCGUAGCUGGUCUGAGAGGACGACCAGCCACACUGGGACUGAGACACGGCCCAGACUCCUACGGGAGGCAGCAGUGGGGAAUAUUGGACAAUGGGCGCAAGCCUGAUCCAGCAAUACCGCGUGCAGGAAGAAGGCCUUCGGGUUGUAAACUGCUUUUGUACGGAACGAAACGGCUCUGGUUAAUACCCGGGGCUAAUGACGGUACUGUAAGAAUAAGCACCGGCCAACUACGUG